GAUGAACGCUGGCGGCGUGCCUAAUACAUGCAAGUCGAGCGAACGGACGAGAAGCUUGCUUCUCUGAUGUUAGCGGCGGACGGGUGAGUAACACGUGGAUAACCUACUUAUAAGACUGGGAUAACUUCGGGAAACCGGAGCUAAUACUGGAUAAUAUUUUGAACCGCAUGGUUCAAAAGUGAAAGACGGUUUUGCCGUCACUUAUAGAUGGAUCCGCGCUGCAUUAGCUAGUUGGUAAGGUAACGGCCUACCAAGGCAACGAUGCAUAGCCGACCUGAGAGGGUGAUCGGCCACACUGGAACUGAGACACGGUCCAGACUCCUACGGGAGGCAGCAGUAGGGAAUCUUCCGCAAUGGGCGAAAGCCUGACGGAGCAACGCCGCGUGAGUGAUGAAGGUCUUCGGAUCGUAAAACUCUGUUAUUAGGGAAGAACAUGUGUGUAAGUAACUGUGCACAUCUUGACGGUACCUAAUCAGAAAGCCACGGCUAACUACGUG
rnacentral:rRNA from 1 species